rnacentral:rRNA from 1 species
AGUGAACGCUGGCGGUAGGCCUAACACAUGCAAGUCGAACGGCAGCACAGUAAGAGCUUGCUCUUACGGGUGGCGAGUGGCGGACGGGUGAGGAAUACAUCGGAAUCUACUUUUUCGUGGGGGAUAACGUAGGGAAACUUACGCUAAUACCGCAUACGACCUACGGGUGAAAGCAGGGGAUCUUCGGACCUUGCGCGACUGAAUGAGCCGAUGUCGGAUUAGCUAGUUGGCGGGGUAAAGGCCCACCAAGGCGACGAUCCGUAGCUGGUCUGAGAGGGUGAUCAGCCACACUGGAACUGAGACACGGUCCAGACUCCUACGGGAGGCAGCAGUGGGGAAUAUUGGACAAUGGGCGCAAGCCUGAUCCAGCCAUACCGCGUGAGUGAAGAAGGCCUUCGGGUUGUAAAGCCCUUUUGUUGGGAAAGAAAAGCAGCAGGUUAAUACCCCGCUGUUCUGACGGUACCCAAAGAAUAAGCACCGGCUAACUUCGUG